rnacentral:snRNA from 1 species
GAGAGAUUCUUUUAGAAUUUAUCUAGCAGGUUUUCCUGUCCACACCACGAUAACUGUC